rnacentral:rRNA from 1 species
CCUACGGGAGGCAGCAGUGAGGAAUAUUGGUCAAUGGACGAGAGUCUGAACCAGCCAAGUAGCGUGAAGGAUGACUGCCCUAUGGGUUGUAAACUUCUUUUAUAAAGGAAUAAAACGAGGCACGUGUGCCUUUUUGCAUGUACUUUAUGAAUAAGGCUCGGCUAACUCCGUGCCAGCAGCCGCGGUAAUACGGAGGAACCGAGCGUUAUCCGGAUUUAUUGGGUUUAAAGGGAGCGUAGAUGGGUUGUUAAGUCAGUUGUGAAAGUUUGCGGCUCAAACGUAACAUUGCAGUUGAUACUGGCAUUCUUGAGUGCAGGUGAGGUAGGCGGAAUUCGUGGUGUAGCGGUGAAAUGCUUAGAUAUCACGAAGAACCCCGAUUGCGAAGGCAGCUUACUAAACUGUGACUGACAUUGAUGCUCGAAAGUGUGGGUAUCAAACAGGAUUAGAUACCCCAGUAGUC